UUAUUAUAUUAUUACAUACAUUAUUGUCUGAAGAACUCAGGCGACUACAAGCGCGCGAGAAAGAGGGGAAUAGUCUGGGAGAUUCAAGCUAGCAAAAGUCUCGAGAUCGAAGAUUCAAGCUCGCAGAACCCACUCAAUUGCUCGAACAACAUUUAAUCUCGUAGGGCUUGUUAAUUUUUAAUUUCAAAAUCGAAGACUAAAGCUCGAACUUUCAAGAUUGAAGAACACCGAAGCUUGAAUACUUAAGCUUGAAGCUAUUGGGCAAGAAAGACAAUACUGAUUUUGUUACUUCUACAGAGAGACUGGAGCAUUGUGUGCAAUGAAAGAAGUUGGAUUGGUACCGGGUGAUGAAAAAUCUGCAGAAUGUAUAAGGCAAUUAGAGCAGGUCAGAUUAUGCUUAUUGGAUAAUUUGUGGUCUUAAUUAUAUCACCAACCAUGGUUUUCUAACAGUCGGUGAUUCGGUUUUACAUAUAUUUGGAGUAUGUCCACCCUGGUUCAUUAAUAAAUUAUAUUUGUGACCACUGUGGAGCAAUCACAGAACCUAUCGUCCGCAACUUCACACGCCACAUUCUUUCCGGCUUAACUUACUUGCACAGCACAAAGACAAUACAUAGGGACAUCAAAUAAGCCAAUUUGCUUGAGUGGUGUUGUCAAGCUUGCGGGCUUUGGAAUGGCAUAGCAUGACUAAAAUAUAAAUUGCUUGCAGCUUAGUGGACAAGCUGCUAAUCUGUCGCUAAAGGGAAGUCCAUACUGGAUGGCUCCUGAGCUCAUACAUCCUUAUAUGCAGAACGAAUCUGACCCUGACCUUGCGCUUGCUGUUGAUAUCUGGAGUUUGGGUUGCACGAUUAUCGAAAUGGCUAUGGGUGAUUAAGAAGAUUUAUGGAAAUUGUUUAAAUCUGCAAGAGAUUGUGGAGAACGAAUCUGAUUUGGUGAAAUUAAUAGCAGAGGACCUUAAAGGAAACAUCACAAUAGUAGGGAAAAAACAUUAGCUGCAACUACAUUGGUCGCGGUUGAAUCCCAGUAGCAAAGCCUGGCAUUUCAAAGGUCUCGCAGAAUCCCAGCAACAAAGCCUGACUAGAAUGCAUGCAUAUAUGAGAACGAAGAAAAGAAUAAUAAGGCAGCAGUGUUAUGUUCUUGAAAUUUGAAGAAAAGUAAAUACAAGGAUGACAGUCUUCUUAAAUUAAUUAGUUUUAAUUAUCUACGUUUAGACUACAUACUUUUAUUUAGAUUAUGCCUUAGACUUUAUUGACUAAUUUAUGUAUGCGACUUAGAUUUGGAAUGGUUUGUAAGACUUUGUAAAGUUCAUGGUACCGCUUUUGGAUUGUUGGCUACUUGAUGCUAAUUGGGAUUCUGAAUAGACAAUUGAAAUUUGUGGCUAUGUAUGCCUGGCUAUUUGUAUUUGUAGU